rnacentral:rRNA from 1 species
GAUGAACGCUGGCGGCGUGCCUAAUACAUGCAAGUCGAGCGAACAGACGAGGAGCUUGCUCCUCUGACGUUAGCGGCGGACGGGUGAGUAACACGUGGAUAACCUACCUAUAAGACUGGGAUAACUUCGGGAAACCGGAGCUAAUACCGGAUAAUAUAUUGAACCGCAUGGUUCAAUAGUGAAGGACGGUUUUGCUGUCACUUAUAGAUGGAUCCGCGCCGCAUUAGCUAGUUGGUAAGGUAACGGCUUACCAAGGCAACGAUGCGUAGCCGACCUGAGAGGGGGAUCGGCAACACUGGAACUGAGACACGGUCCAGACUCCUACGGGAGGCAGCAGUAGGGAAUCUUCCGCAAUGGGCGAAAGCCUGACGGAGCAACGCCGCGUGAGUGAUGAAGGUCUUCGGAUCGUAAAACUCUGUUAUUAGGGAAGAACAAAUGUGUAAGUAACUAUGCACGUCUUGACGGUACCUAAUCAGAAAGCCACGGCUAACUACGUG